UUGGUAAGGUAACGGCUUACCAAGGCGNAUGAUGCAUAGCCGAGUUGAGAGACUGAUCGGCCACAUUGGGACUGAGACACGGCCCAAACUCCUACGGGAGGCAGCAGUAGGGAAUCUUCCACAAUGGACGCAAGUCUGAUGGAGCAMCGCCGCGUGAGUGAAGAAGGUUUUCGG
rnacentral:rRNA from 1 species